GUCCAGGUACCUCCUCUCUUCUUCCUCCACCUCCUCCACCAUCACCACCUCGUCCGAGUCCAGGUUUGCCCGCUCCUCCGCCUCCUCCGUCUCCUCCUCCUCCUCCUCGAGCUCGCCGGGCCACGCUGGUCAUCUGGAGAUCUCGGUUUCAAGCUGCAGUGCAUGAGUUGGCUGGGGUGACUUAAGUCCACAAGUCUUUCAUUAUUUGGGACCAGCCCAUUACUCCAAGAAUGCUUCUUCCAUGAGGGAGGUAGGAAGCUCUCAAAGGAUACAAGCUGCACAAGAGAAUAGAUUUCAUCUGUUUUGCACACCACUCUGUGCCUAGUGCCAAAAACAGCAUCUGACAUAUAUAGUGGUUCUUGGUAAACAUUGUGGAACGAAGUCAAUGGAGAUUGCAUUGAACUGGCUGGUCAAAAGAUUCUGAAUAGAACUUCAGUAUAAAUUUGGUUUUGCUGGAACUGAUAAAGAUGUCUGCCUACCAGAGAACAUUUAAUUUCCUUUUCCAGCUGGCGUCUGGAAGUUGACUAUAACUUGCAGUUGACUUCUGGUGGCAAACUCUCCCUUAGGAUGAGUCAUUUCCACUGAUGGUUAGAUCAAUCCAUUAAUAACUUCAUUUUCAUGGUGCUUUUAUAUUCAGAAGAAUAAAUUACAAAAGUUAGUAUAUGGCAUAUGUAGACACAAAUUUUGUUUUAUAGAUGCAUAUGUUUGUCUCUGUGUGUAUUCGUAUAAAAGAAAUUUAUAUAUGAUAAACCAGCGAGGAUAACUGGGAAUAUGCAAAACAUUUCUAUUCCUGUGAGUACAAAAUUUCUGUCUCAACUCAUGGAUCACCUUGAUGGUUGCUUCACUGUUACUCCUCUAACUGGUUCUUUCACAAACUCUAUAUAAUAUCUCAAUUGGCCACAGAUACUUCAAGCACCACUGGAUACUUUGGGUCAUCAGAGCUAGAUGCCAGAGCAGUUCCAACAAGCUGAAGUUUUUUCUUAUUCUGGACUUGACUCAAAUCAUGUAACCCUUCCAGGUUACUUUGUCAAGGGGUUGGAGUACAGGUUACUCAGUAAAUGUGACGUUGUCUCAAAAAUCCAGAAUGAGGGGCGCCUGGGGUGCUCAGUGGGUUGAGCCUCUGCCUUUGGCUCAGGUCAUGGUCCCAGGGUUCUGGGAUCGAGCUCUGCAUCAGGCUCUCUGCUCAGCGGGGAGCCUGCUUCCCCCUCUCUCUCUCUGCCUGCCUCUCUGCCUACUUGUGAUCUCUGUCUGUCAAAUACAUAAAUAAAAUCUUUUUAAAAAAUCCAGAA